rnacentral:rRNA from 1 species
CGCAUCUGUGCAUGCAGCAUAUCAAUAAGCGGAGGAAAAGAAACUAACAAGGAUUCCCCUAGUAACGGCGAGUGAAGCGGGAAGAGCUCAAAUUUGAAAUCUUAAAGGGUUUCCCUUUACGAAUUGUAGUUUAAAGAAGUGUUUUCUGUUGAGGUUUUGGUAAAAGUUCUUUGGAAUAGGACAUCAUAGAGGGUGAGAAUCCCGUAUUUGACCUUUACUUUCAACUUUGUGAUACACUUUCAAAGAGUCGGAUUGUUUGGGAAUGCAGUCCAAAAUGGGUGGUAAAUUUCAUCUAAAGCUAAAUAUUGGCGAGAGACCGAUAGCGAACAAGUACCGUGAGGGAAAGAUGAAAAGAACUUUGAAAAGAGAGUUAAACAGUACGUGAAAUUGUCAAAAGGGAAGCGUUUGACACCAGUGUUGUUUUUCUGAAAAUCAAUUAAAGAACUGUUUAUGCUAAGCUGUUUAGACUUUAUCAGCUAUCUGUUUAGUUUUGAGCUUUUCUUUAAUGCACUUUUCAGUUAACAAGUCAACAUCAAUUUCUUUUGCUGUAAAAAAGCUUGAGGAAGGUGGCUUGAGAUUCGUCUUAAGUGUUUAUAGCCUCUUGCCUAUGCAGUCGGAGAGAUUGAGGUCUGCAGCGUAGAUCCUUCGGGGCUAAAUGCAUUUGUGCUAAGUUAUAGCAUUUUAUAGACAACUUGUUGACUAUGAUUUGUCUUGUAGCUUACUCGCUUAUGUUAUUUUACCUACGCUUAGGAUGUUGAAUCUGUGCGAGACUA